rnacentral:lncRNA from 1 species
CAGUACUUCACUGAGGUCAUGCCUUCAUGGGAACACUUAGCCUGACGUGUGACUAAGUCCAGGUUCCAGAAGUCCAGGCAUAUUGGUGUGAGUGAUUGCUUAACCAGAGUCCGACUUCUAAAAUACACAGAUAGAGCACUGUGGAAAACUUGCUGUGUUUCUUUUCCUUUUUCCUGUGAAAACUGAGGACCACGCCAGCCCAAUGUCUGCCGAUUGGGUGUCACCAGAAGCAUGAAGAAUGUGGUGCUGCCAUCCUCAUGCUUCAUGUGCCCCAAAAGAACGGUCUUUGUGGAUGUGCAGCCUGGCUCUGUGCUUAGGGGCUGGGAUCCAUCUUGGAAUUCUUAAUGCUUGCACCGUGAAGCUUCCUUGAAUCCCGUGCCUUGCUCCUGGUUAUAUAGUUGAAGAAUCAUCUCCACAAGUGUCUUCUAUAUUUCAGAGUCUGAGGUUGAAUAACUUAACUCGCAGACAACUUUUCAAACCCUCUGACAAUCAAGAAACAGCUAAGUCAGGUGUGGUGGAUCACACCAAUAAUGCCAGCAAUCAGGAGACUGAGCCCUGAGGAUUGUGAGUUCAAGACCAGCCUGGGCAGUAUCACAAGACCCUGUUCAGACCAUACCACCACCCACAAAAGCCUCAAAACAGAAAAAAAAUAUUUACUUCGUGUUGCUCAAGAAAUUUUUUUUUUACCUCUUUCAAGACAAGAUGAACAUUUUA